UAAAAUCAAAGAAAUUCACUAGUUUUUUAUAUUCACUAUACUUUAAUUUUUGCUUAUAUAUUAUAAUAUUCACUAUACUUUAAUUUUUGCUUUUUCUAUUCUUUAAUUUUAGAAAUUCAUGGAAAACCCGAUUAUUUUACCUAGCUUUUAAAUUAUUAAUUAGUUUUUAGACUUGUCCUAAAAGUUAGUUAAAAUUACGAUACUUACAGCAACUAUAAUUUUAUUGUAGUGAAAAUUCGCACAAUCAAACAAAAUGUACUAUGCAAAGGUUAAAAAAAAAACUUGAAAUAAAGAGAUAAUUGAGUUUUUUAUCCUGGGGAAAAUAAAAAAACUAAAUUGUGCUCUUUAAAGUACUUUUUAAUGUUCUGUGAUUGUUAUAGAGUUCAAAUUUUUAAAGUUACUUAUAAAUCUAUUUGUUUUUAGAUGUUUUUAAGCUUCUGGAUCAUACUUUUAAAAUACCUCACUCUAUUGAGAUCAACAUCUGAAGCCUUACAACAGCAUACCUUUCAAUAAUAUCUCACUCAAUAUUACAUCAUGUGUAAAAAUGCGCAUUUGAAUACAAUUAAAAUGUGUCAUUUCUCAGAAAAAUUUAAAAGUGCUUAUUUAAAUUUUUCUAAAAAUGGCAUGUAAUUUAUUAAUGCUUUGAUUCAGACAUUGAAGAUUUGUUAUCAAAACAACAUUUAAAGUUUAAAAAUCAAUCAUCUUCAACAAUUACAACACAAACUAAUUUUCGUGGUUUUAAAAACUAUAUCAAUUUGAUCCUGUAUAUUUGUACAAAGAUAUCAUGAGGUCCAGGAAUUUUAAAAGGAAGACUAAAUUAAAUUUACUUGGAAGCAUACAAAAGAUUCUCGUAAUAUGCUUCGUAUCAUUAGGUAUGGUACCGUUAAAAAUCUGUCAGUUAAACAACAAAUAGUUUUGAAAAAAAAAAAGAGUAUGACGAAAUGGGUCUAAAAUUUAAAAUUGAGUGGAAACAAAUCUGUAUAUAUAGCUUGUGUUUUAAAAUCCAAGUUUUUUUUUUUUUUUUAAAUAUUGUUCAAGUAUUUAUACACUCGUAAGUUUUUAUUUUUCACGCUUAAAAGAUAAAAUUGUUUUAGGGUAAAUGCCAAUGUGUGGUAUUUUAUGGGUGUAA
rnacentral:lncRNA from 1 species